UACGUAGGGUGCAAGCGUUGUCCGGAAUUAUUGGGCGUAAAGAGCUCGUAGGCGGUUUGUCGCGUCUGCUGUGAAAACUCGGGGCUUAGCUCCGGGCCUGCAGUGGGUACGGGCAGACUAGAGUGCGGUAGGGGAGACUGGAAUUCCUGGUGUAGCGGUGAAAUGCGCAGAUAUCAGGAGGAACACCGGUGGCGAAGGCGGGUCUCUGGGCCGUAACUGACGCUGAGGAGCGAAAGCGUGGGGAGCGAACAGG
rnacentral:rRNA from 1 species